ensembl:snRNA RNU6-249P RNA, U6 small nuclear 249, pseudogene
UUGCUUCGGCAGCACAUGCACUAAAAAUUGGAAUGAAACAGAAGAUUAGCGUGGCCCCUGCACAAGGAUGGCACGCAAAUUCAUGAAGUGUUCCAUAUUAAA